UACAGAGGGGGCGAGCGUUGUUCGGAAUUACUGGGCGUAAAGGGCGCGUAGGCGGCCUUCUAAGUCGAACGUGAAAUCCCCGGGCUCAACCCGGGAACUGCGUCCGAUACUGGGAGGCUUGAAUCCGGGAGAGGGAUGUGGAAUUCCAGGUGUAGCGGUGAAAUGCGUAGAUAUCAGGAGGAACACCGGUGGCGAAGGCGGGUCUCUGGGCCGUAACUGACGCUGAGGAGCGAAAGCGUGGGGAGCGAACAGG
rnacentral:rRNA from 1 species